GAUGAACGCUAGCGGGAGGCCUAACACAUGCAAGCCGAGCGGUAUUGUUUCUUCGGAAAUGAGAGAGCGGCGUACGGGUGCGUAACACGUGUGCAACCUGCCUUUAUCUGGGGGAUAGCCUUUCGAAAGGAAGAUUAAUACUCCAUAACAUAUUGAACGGCAUCGUUUAAUAUUGAAAGCUCCGGCGGAUAGAGAUGGGCACGCGCAAGAUUAGCUAGUUGGUGAGGUAACGGCUCACCAAGGCGAUGAUCUUUAGGGGGCCUGAGAGGGUGCCCCCCCACACUGGUACUGAGACACGGACCAGACUCCUACGGGAGGCAGCAGUGAGGAAUAUUGGUCAAUGGGUGCAAGCCUGAACCAGCCAUCCCGCGUGAAGGACGACUGCCCUAUGGGUUGUAAACUUCUUUUGUAUAGGGAUAAACCUACCCUCGAGAGGGUAGCUGAAGGUACUAUACGAAUAAGCACCGGCUAACUCCGUGCCAGCAGCCGCCGUAACAC
rnacentral:rRNA from 1 species